ACUCAGUGGUGUUUGACUGGUUGGUUUUUGUUCCUUUGUUUAUUUUAAAUCUAAAGAGAGAUGAUUACUGCUCUGCACGCAAAUGGGUCAAGCUAACAGAAUACAAAGCAGUUUUCUACCCCAAAGCAUCCCUCUGGAAGAAAACUCAAGAGGAAAGCACGCCUGAGGCAACCCAGCAAGACACAGUCCCUCUCAAAGAGCCAAGGACACUGCAAUCACAGCAUCUCAAUUCAGCGUGAGUGAAGAUUCGAGUCCUGCCAAGUCCAGAAAUCACCAGGAAUUGGGAUCAGGAAAAUGCUGCUUUGCAGAAGAUGCCAUUACACUCCCACUCUGACCCUACUAUGUCUCACUGAGUGCAAGAUGGAGUAAUACAGAUGCUAGUAGGUCAGAGGACAAAGUCGUGGAUCACUUCUCAGACAUACUGGUAAAUGUCACCCAGAAAUGUUCAGCGCUGCAGGGCACCAAAGUGCUCUUGGAGACCCAUGGUACCCAGCUUUACACAUCCUUUCAGCACCAAAGUACUUUCAGAAAGCUGGUCUCUGGGUAUUUAACACUUUUUAGACACACCAGGACUUUCAGUGUCUUGUAAGAAGUUCAAACUUUUUUUUCUUUUUUAAGAUAUUUUUCUCCUCUGUUUGUAGAAUUAGCAUUGUACUGCUACAGUUAAACACCUGCUACCUUUACACAAUUUUCUAGAUAAAAUAAUUGUUGGAACUCCACAGGCCUACAAAUGCUUCACAGCAACCUUGCAUUAUUUAAAAUAUAUAUUUGGAAGCGUGUUUUAUUUUUAGUAAUUGUCAUUAUUGUAGACAUUUAUCUCUAUGAAGAAAAGCAUGCUGUCCUUCCUUAAUGACUGACAUUAUAAUAUUACUUUUAUUUGAUAUUACUUUAAACUAAUGCUACUUUUAAAAAGAUCAGUUCAAUAACUUCAAUGGAAUUUACGAAAAUUUACAAAUUAAAUAACAUGGUGUAGUUACUUCAUUUUAGUAAUUAAAUACAACAAUUCAAAAAUUCAAUGUUUGGGGACAUGUCUAAGGACUUACUCCACAAAAUGGCAAAAAUACAUAUUCAGCAGCACAAAGCCAAAAUUAGUCGGAGAUAUCACUUGGGAAUUCAUAUUCGUCUUUGCUCUCCAGCUGUAGCG